rnacentral:SRP_RNA from 1 species
UCUUUAGACCUGUGCAAUGGGACAGUGAGCAAACGUGUCAGGGUAGGAAUACAGCAGCACAGCUUACUCUCUCAUGUGCCGCAGCCAUCUGGAGAGGG